rnacentral:rRNA from 1 species
CCUACGGGGGGCAGCAGUGAGGAAUAUUGGUCAAUGGGCGAGAGCCUGAACCAGCCAAGUCGCGUGAGGGAUGACUGCCCUAUGGGUUGUAAACCUCUUUUGUAUGGGGGGAAUAAGCUUUACGAGUAGAGUGAUGACAGUACCAUACGAAUAAGCAUCGGCUAACUCCGUGCCAGCAGCCGCGGUAAUACGGAGGAUGCGAGCGUUAUCCGGAUUUAUUGGGUUUAAAGGGAGCGUAGGUGGAUUGUUAAGUCAGUUGUGAAAGUUUGCGGCUCAACCGUAAAAUUGCAGUUGAAACUGGCAGU